rnacentral:rRNA from 1 species
GACGAACGCUGGCGGCGUGCUUAACACAUGCAAGUCGAACGGAAAGGCCCUGCUUUUGUGGGGUGCUCGAGUGGCGAACGGGUGAGUAACACGUGAGUAACCUGCCCUUGACUUUGGGAUAACUUCAGGAAACUGGGGCUAAUACCGGAUAGGAGCUCCUGCUGCAUGGUGGGGGUUGGAAAGUUUCGGCGGUUGGGGAUGGACUCGCGGCUUAUCAGCUUGUUGGUGGGGUAGUGGCUUACCAAGGCUUUGACGGGUAGCCGGCCUGAGAGGGUUACCGGCCACAUUGGGACUGAGAUACGGCCCAGAAUCCUACGGGAGGCAGCAGUGGGGAAUAUUGCACAAUGGGCGGAAGCCUGAUGCAGAAACGCCGCGUGCGGGAUGACGGCCUUCGGGUUGUAAACCGCUUUCGCCUGUGACGAAGAGUGAGUGACGGUAAUGGGUAAAGAAGCACCGGCUAACUACGUG